rnacentral:lncRNA from 1 species
AUAAGCAAACCUAGAGGAACAGGUCGAGUAACACGUCUGACAAGUGUCUGUGUGUCUCUGUUGUCUUCUUCCCAGGCGUGCGCUUUCGUGUUUCGGACAGCUCCCCCUGCAGCACCGUGAGAGAGCACUCCUGGCCCCUGCGGUCUGUCUGCAGCGAGUCCCACACUCCGUCUGCCGCUGCACUCGGGGUCCUGCGCAAGGUGGGAGAGCAGGCACAGCAGCCCAGGAGCGAGAGCCCCCCUGCAUGGGUGUCUGUGGUCAGGCUGUGGUUCGGGGAGGGGGGCCUGUGAGAACAG